rnacentral:rRNA from 1 species
ACGGAAGGCAGCAGUGGGGAAUAUUGCACAAUGGGGGAAACCCUGAUGCAGCGACGCCGCGUGGGUGAUGAAGUAUUUCGGUACGUAAAACCCUAUCAGCAGGGAAGAUAAUGACGGUACCUGACUAAGAAGCCCCGGCUAAAUACGUGCCAGCAGCCGCGGUAAUACGUAUGGGGCAAGCGUUAUCCGGAUUUACUGGGUGUAAAGGGAGCGCAGGCGGUUUUGCAAGUUGGGUGUGAAAACCCAGGGCUCAACCUUGGGAUUGCACCCAAAACUGUAAGACUAGAGUGUCGGAGGGGCAAGCGGAAUUCCUAGUGUAGCGGUGAAAUGCGUAGAUAUUAGGAGGAACACCGGUGGCGAAGGCGGCUUGCUGGACGAUGACUGACGCUGAGGCUCGAAAGCGUGGGGAGCAAACAGGAUUAGAUACCCUGGUA